CCUACGGGAGGCAGCAGUAGGGAAUCUUCCACAAUGGGCGAAAGCCUGAUGGAGCAACGCCGCGUGGGUGAAGAAGGUCUUCGGAUCGUAAAACCCUGUUAUUAGAGAAGAAAGUGCGUGAGAGUAACUGUUCACGUUUCGACGGUAUCUACCCAGAAAGCCACGGCUAACUACGUGCCAGCAGCCGCGGUAAUACGUAGGUGGCAAGCGUUAUCCGGAUUUAUUGGGCGUAAGGGGAACGCAGGCGGUCUUUUAAGUCGGAUGUGAAAGCCUUCGGCUUAACCGGAGUAGUGCAUUGGAAACGGGAGGACUGAGUGCAGAAGAGGGGAGUAGAACUCCAGGUGGAGCGGUGAAAUGCGUAGAGAUAUGGAAGAACACCGGUGGCGAAAGCGGCCCUCUGGUCUGAGACUGACGCUGAGGUGCGAAAGCGUGGGUAGCAAACAGGAUUAGAUACCCCAGUAGUC
rnacentral:rRNA from 1 species